rnacentral:rRNA from 1 species
GACGAACGCUGGCGGCGUGCUUAACACAUGCAAGUCGAACGAUGAAGAAGAGCUUGCUCUUCGGAUUAGUGGCGAACGGGUGAGUAACACGUGACUAACCUGCCCCUUUCUCUGGGAUAACGCUCCGAAAGGAGUGCUAAUACCGGAUACUCACAUCGAGGCACAUGCCUUGAUGUGGAAAGUUUUUCGGAAAGGGAUGGAGUCGCGGCCUAUCCGCUUGUUGGUGAGGGAACGGCUCACCAAGGCGACGACGGGUAGCCGGCCUGAGAGGGCGACCGGCCACACUGGGACUGAGACACGGCCCAGACUCCUACGGGAGGCAGCAGUGGGGAAUAUUGCACAAUGGGCGAAAGCCUGAUGCAGCGACGCCGCGUGAGGGAUGAAGGUCUUCGGAUUGUAAACCUCUUUCAGUAGGGACGAAGCGAAAGUGACGGUACCUAAAGAAGAAGCACCGGCUAACUACGUGCCAGCAGCCGCGGUAA